UUUUUUCCUUCUAGUAUUGCCUGUCAGCCAUGUUUUCCCCCACCCUUUUCAGUUCUCUUUUUUUUGGUCUUGGGAGCCUUAUCUCUUUUAUUUGUUGACUCUGUUGUCAGUGUCUCUAUUUUAAAUCUUUUUAUAUCCUUUGGCAAUGGUCCUUGUUCUCCAUAGUCUUCUAGGCUGUUGUUUUCCUUUUCCAACUCGUCAUCUCUGGGCUUUCCUUGUUCUUCUGCAAGCUGCAACACCAUUACUUUAUUAAUCAUUGUAUCCAGCAAUUUCAUUCUUUCUUUUAACAUACCUCUCACAGUUUGCAGCUCCAACUUAAAUUCUUUGCUUAUUUCUUCCAUUUCUUUAUUAAA